rnacentral:rRNA from 1 species
GCUUACGGCCAUACCACCUUAGGCACGCCCGAUCUCGUCUGAUAUCGGAAGCUAAGCAGGGUCGGGGCUGGUUAGUACUUGGAUGGGUGACCGCCUGGGAAUACCAGGUGCUGUAAGCA